GACGAACCGUGCGAACGUUGUUCGGAAUCACUGGGCUUAAAGGGCGCGUAGGCGGGCGACAUAGUCGGGGGUGAAAUCUUUCGGCUCAACCGGAAAAUAGCCUUCGAUACUGGUCGUCUGGAGGGGGGUAGGGGCGUGUGGAACUUCCGGUGGAGCGGUGAAAUGCGUAGAUAUCGGAAGGAACACCGGUGGCGAAAGCGGCGCGCUGGACCUCUUCUGACGCUGAGGCGCGAAAGCCAGGGGAGCGAACGGG
rnacentral:rRNA from 1 species